GGAAGGGCUGUAAUAAUUAUACUAGUUGACUGCACAUAGCAUGCAAAUAGAGGACGAAGUGAGAGUGAUAUGGCGUGAGAACACCUUUCGUAAACAAAAGCUGAAGAACAUACGCACAUCCGGGUACUUUCCGCAGGUGCUGGAGUUGUAGGCAAACUCAUGGAAAACAGAAAGGAAAAUGCUGCACACUGCUGUUCAUGCUCCCAGCGUUUCAGGUAACCUUCCACAAGCUUUCCACAAAAAAUUGGGUACAAUUUGGCCCAUUCCUUCGGACAAAGCUGGUGUAACUGAAUCGGGACCUGAGCCUUCGGACCAUGCCUCAGGACGACCUGGCAUGAUGAUUCCUUGCUGUCAACCAGUCCACCUGGCCGUGCUGCUCCUCCAGUUUCAACUGUUCUGCCAGGAAUCCUGACCUGUUCACCGGACGUUCUACCUGUCCCAGACAUGCUGUUUUCAACUCUCUAGAGACAGCAGGAGUGGUAGAGAUACUGUUAAUGAUCUGCUAACUUGCUGACUUGCUGCACCCUCGACAACUACUGUGAUUAUUAUUAUUUGUCCAUGCUGGUCAUUUAUGAACAUUUGAACAUCUUGGCCAUGUUCUGUUAUAAUCUCCACCCUGCACAGCCAGAAGAGGACUGGCCACCCCUCAUAGCCUGGUUCCUCUCUAGGUUUCUUCCUAGGUUUUGGCCUUUCUAGGGAGUUUUUCCUAGCUACCGUGGUUCAACACAUGCAUUGCUUGCUGUUUGGGGUUUUAGGCUGGGUUUCUGUACAGCACUUUGAGAUAUCAGCUGAUGUAGAAAGGGCUAUAUAAAUACAUUUAAUUUGAUUUUAUUUGAGGUACACCUCCAAUUGACUAAAAUGAUGACAAUUUGUCUAUCAGAAGCCUCUAAAGUCAUGACAUCAUUUUCUGGAAUUGUCCAAGCUGUUUAAGGCUUCUAUGUGUUUUCCCUAUGUCUCCUCUUGGCCUUAAAGAGGAGUUAGACUUGAAACCAUUUUAAUAGUUGCAAUAAUUCUAAACUGUUUUUUAAAAUCCUAAUUGAAUAUUGUAUGUGUAUGUAUAUUACUAUAAAAAAUGAUUACAUUCUUUGUGUAUGAUCAUAUAUUUUGAUACAUUGAAUGUUAAUAUUGUGAAACAAUGUUAUACAUUUUUACCCCCUGUUUCAGGAAGUGAUGUUACUGAGUACUGCCCCUAUAUAUAGGACCUUCCACCCCCACUUGGGAAAUGGAUGCCCGAUGAAGACCUCAAGGUCAAAACAUUGUAAAUAAAUCUCACCUGGGAACAUGAGCAGCAGUGUGCUGCGUAUUCCUUUCUGUCUUCCAACACCUUUCGUAAAACCUGCUGCCUGACGGGGACUCCAGGGUGAAAACAUAAUUAUGUGUUUUUAGAGCCUUCAUUUUUGUGGACACCAGCAGAACAGUAUCCCCAAGGUUUAGAGUCAGGCUGAGGGAGGUGGGAAUUGUCAUGUUAUCAAACUUCGGUUUUUGCCAUAAGUGAUUAUAAAUAGCUUAACACAUUACUAAUACUUGUCAUAUUUUGUGUUUUCUUUUGCUUUUCAAGUCUUUUGCUAUCACUCUCUUAGGAACCCGAAGGAGGUUGUGAAAGUCAAAAGCUCCAGAUGAAAUGUCAUUCAAUGUCAUUCAAUGUCAUCAGUUGUACAACAGGAGGGGUAAUGGCAGAUAGGGUGGGAGUAAGAGGGUGCAUAGUGUGAUUAUAAGUUUGAGGCCAGGUCUUCAUAGUCAGGGGCUGUCAGUCUCGGAGGUGUACACAUACAAAUCAACUGAUAAUAUUAAUCAUGUUUUCUCUUCUGUUCAUUUAUAAGUAAUUUCAAAGUUUAUAUAAUGUAGAACAGUAUGGAGUUACCAUUCAAAAAGUUGGGCUGUUGGAUUAUAGCUUGAAAUAUACUUAUUCAUGUUACCAUACUAGAAUUUAUUGAUUGCUUAUAUAAGGAAUGUAUAUGAUAGGGUCAAUAAAGGGUGGAUAGGAACUGGGUAUAUGGAAAGUUGCUAAGUGCAGAAAGUUCAUAUUCUGCACCAUGUUUCUAAGGAAGGAGGCAAAGUUCAAUAGUUAGUCUCUGAUAAGGCAGGCCAGCUGCGGAACUAGGGAGGAGCGAGGAAUGCAUCUGGGCUAUGACAACACCAGUGAGAGGAACCAAAUAAGUUCCUGCCUUGCAACAGAGAUUUAUUGGCUGUCUAGAUGUGUAAGGAGUUGACCCCACCUAUUAGAAGUUUAUAAAUAUAUGUUCUUAUGUAAUCAAACCUAGGGCUGUGGCGGUCAUAACAUUUUGUCAGCCGGUGAAUGUCAAGCAAAAAGCUGCCGGUCUCACAGUAAUUGACCAUUAAUUAACAUAAACACAUUUAGCAUCUCCUGUUUUCAAAGCAUAGCCUACAAGCCACUGAUGCAUGCCUUUGGAACAUCUACAUUUAAAAAAAGUCUAAUAAAUCCAUGUAAAAUAGCCUUCAAAUAAAUAAAUCCAUUAUUUAUUUUAGACAGGCCGCUAGAAGACAGCAGUGUAUGUGUAAGUUUUAGACUGAUCCAAUUAAUCGUUGCAUUUAUUUUCAAAGUAGUGUAUCAAGACUGCCCAAAUGUCAAGUUCAUAACUGUGCACUCUCCUCAAACAAUUGCAUGGUAUUCUUUCACUGUAAUAACUACUUUAAAUUGGGCAAUGCAGUUAGAUUAAGAAUAAUUUAAGCUUUCUGCCAAUAUCAGAUAUGUCUAUGUCCUGGGAUAUUUUCUUGUUACUUACAACCUCAUGCUUAUCGUAUUAGCCUACGUUAGCUCAACCAUCCCGAUGGGGACCCACCAAUCCUGCAGAGGUUUUAAUUUAGAGCUAUUUAUGUAACUCUAGUUAUGAUAAAAAUGUUGGGCUAUAUGUUU